rnacentral:rRNA from 1 species
GAUGAACGCUGGCGGCGUGCCUAAUACAUGCAAGUCGAGCGAACGGACGAGAAGCUUGCUUCUCUGAUGUUAGCGGCGGACGGGUGAGUAACACGUGGAUAACCUACCUAUAAGACUGGGAUAACUUCGGGAAACCGGAGCUAAUACCGGAUAAUAUUUUGAACCGCAUGGUUCAAAAGUGAAAGACGGUCUUGCUGUCACUUAUAGAUGGAUCCGCGCUGCAUUAGCUAGUUGGUAAGGUAACGGCUUACCAAGGCAACGAUGCAUAGCCGACCUGAGAGGGUGAUCGGCCACGCUGGAACUGAGACACGGUCCAGACUCCUACGGGAGGCAGCAGUAGGGAAUCUUCCGCAAAGGGCGAAAGCCUGACGGAGCAACGCCGCGUGAGUGAUGAAGGUCUUCGGAUCGUAAAACUCUGUUAUUAGGGAAGAACAUAUGUGUAAGUAACUGUGCACAUCUUGACGGUACCUAAUCAGAAAGCCACGGCUAACUACGUG